rnacentral:lncRNA from 1 species
GGCAUAAUGUGAUUGGUAUAUCUUGUACAGUCGGCAUAUGUGAUUGGUUAUGUACUGUACAGUAGGCCUAAUGUGAUUGGUUAUGUAUUGUACAGUAGGCAUAAUGUGAUUGGUUAUGUACUGUACAGUGGCCAUAAUGUGAUUGGUUAUGUACGUACAGUAUGCAUAAUGUGAUUGGUUAUGUAUGUACAGUAUGCAUAAUGUGAUUGUUAUGUACUGUAC